UACGGGGGGGGCAAGCGUUGUCCGGAUUUAUUGGGCGUAAAGAGCGUGUAGGCGGCCAGGUAGGUCUGCUGUGAAAACUCGAGGCUUAACCUCGAGAUGUCGGCGGAAACCAUCUGGCUAGAGUCCGGAAGAGGAGAAUGGAAUUCCCGGUGUAGCGGUGAAAUGCGCAGAUAUCGGGAAGAACACCCGUGGCGAAGGCGGUUCUCUGGGACGGUACUGACGCUGAGACGCGAAAGCGUGGGGAGCGAACAGG
rnacentral:rRNA from 1 species